GUGCCAGCAGCCGCGGUAAUACGGAGGGUGCAAGCGUUGUCCGGAUUUAUUGGGUUUAAAGGGUGCGUAGGUGGGGUCUCAAGUCUGGUUUGAAAGUCGGCGGCUUAACCGUUGGAUGUGGCUGGAAACUGGGAUUCUUGAAUGCGCUGGCGGUAGCCGGAACGGGUCAUGUAGCGGUGAAAUGCAUAGAUAUGACCCAGAACACCGAUUGCGAAGGCAGGCUACUACGGCGUGAUUGACACUGAGGCACGAGAGCAUGGGUAGCGAACAGGAUUAGAAACCCCUGUAGUCC
rnacentral:rRNA from 1 species